rnacentral:rRNA from 1 species
UACAGAGGGCGCAAGCGUUGUUCGGAAUUAUUGGGCGUAAAGAGCUCGUAGGCGGUUUGUUGCGUCGGCUGUGAAAUCCCGAGGCUCAACCUCGGGUCUGCAGUCGAUACGAGCAAACUAGAGUGUUGCAGGGGAGACUGGAAUUCCUGGUGUAGCGGUGAAAUGCGCAGAUAUCAGGAGGAACACCGGUGGCGAAGGCGGGUCUCUGGGCAACAACUGACGCUGAGGAGCGAAAGUGUGGGGAGCGAACAGG